rnacentral:rRNA from 1 species
AGUGAACGCUGGCGGUAGGCCUAAUACGUGCAAGUCGAACGGCAGCACAGUAAGAGCUUGCUCUUACGGGUGGCGAGUGGCGGACGGGUGAGGAAUACAUCGGAAUCUACUUUUUCGUGGGGGAUAACGUAGGGAAACUUACGCUAAUACCGCAUACGACCUACGGGUGAAAGCAGGGGAUCUUCGGACCUUGCGCGAUUGAAUGAGCCGAUGUCGGAUUAGCUAGUUGGCGGGGUAAAGGCCCACCAAGGCGACGAUCCGUAGCUGGUCUGAGAGGAUGAUGAGCCACACUGGAACUGAGACACGGUCCAGACUCCUACGGGAGGCAGCAGUGGGGAAUAUUGGACAAUGGGCGCAAGCCUGAUCCAGCCAUACCGCGUGGGUGAAGAAGGCCUUCGGGUUGUAAAGCCCUUUUGUUGGGAAAGAAAAGCAGCAGGUUAAUACCCCGCUGUUCUGACGGUACCCAAAGAAUAAGCACCGGCUAACUUCGUG